rnacentral:rRNA from 1 species
AUUGAACGCUGGCGGCAGGCCUAACACAUGCAAGUCGAACGGUAACAGGAAGAAGCUUGCUUCUUUGCUGACGAGUGGCGGACGGGUGAGUAAUGUCUGGGAAACUGCCUGAUGGAGGGGGAUAACUACUGGAAACGGUAGCUAAUACCGCAUAAUGUCGCAAGACCAAAGAGGGGGACCUUCGGGCCUCUUGCCAUCGGAUGUGCCCAGAUGGGAUUAGCUAGUAGGUGGGGUAACGGCUCACCUAGGCGACGAUCCCUAGCUGGUCUGAGAGGAUGACCAGCCACACUGGAACUGAGACACGGUCCAGACUCCUACGGGAGGCAGCAGUGUGGAAUAUUGCACAAUGGGCGCAAGCCUGAUGCAGCUAUGCCGCGUGUAUGAAGAAGGCCUUCGGGUUGUAAAGUACUUUCAGCGGGGAGGAAGGGAGUAAAGUUAAGACCUUUGCUCAUUGACGUUACCCGCAGAAGAAGCACCGGCGAACUCCGU